UUAGAGUUUGAUCCUGGCUCAGGACGAACGCUGGCGGCGUGCUUAACACAUGCAAGUCGAACGAUGAAGCUCUAGCUUGCUGGGGUGGAUUAGUGGCGAACGGGUGAGUAACACGUGAGUAACCUGCCCUCCACUUCGGGAUAACGCCUGGAAACGGGUGCUAAUACCGGAUAUGACGCGCUAUCGCAUGGUGGUGUGUGGAAAGACUGUGUUGGUGGGGGAUGGGCUCGCGGCCUAUCAGCUUGUUGGUGGGGUGAUGGCCUACCAAGGCGGUGACGGGUAGCCGGCCUGAGAGGGUGACCGGCCACACUGGGACUGAGACACGGCCCAGACUCCUACGGGAGGCAGCAGUGGGGAAUAUUGCACAAUGGGCGGAAGCCUGAUGCAGCGACGCCGCGUGAGGGAUGACGGCCUUCGGGUUGUAAACCUCUUUCGGUAGGGAAGAAGCCUUCGGGUGACGGUACCUGCGGAAGAAGCGCCGGCUAACUACGUGCCAGCAGCCGCGGUAAUACGUAGGGCGCAAGCGUUGUCCGGAAUUAUUGGGCGUAAAGAGCUCGUAGGCGGCCUGUCGCGUCUGCUGUGAAAGCCCGGGGCUUAACUCCGGGUCUGCAGUGGGUACGGGCGGGCUGGAGUGCGGUAGGGGAGACUGGAAUUCCUGGUGUAGCGGUGGAAUGCGCAGAUAUCAGGAGGAACACCGGUGGCGAAGGCGGGUCUCUGGGCCGUUACUGACGCUGAGGAGCGAAAGCAUGGGGAGCGAACAGGAUUAGAUACCCUGGUAGUCCAUGCCGUAAACGUUGGGCACUAGGUGUGGGGCCUGUUUCCACGGGUUCUGUGCCGUAGCUAACGCAUUAAGUGCCCCGCCUGGGGAGUACGGCCGCAAGGCUAAAACUCAAAGGAAUUGACGGGGGCCCGCACAAGCGGCGGAGCAUGCGGAUUAAUUCGAUGCAACGCGAAGAACCUUACCAAGGCUUGACAUGCACCGGACGCAUCCAGAGAUGGGUGUUCCCUUUGGGUCGGUGCACAGGUGGUGCAUGGUUGUCGUCAGCUCGUGUCGUGAGAUGUUGGGUUAAGUCCCGCAACGAGCGCAACCCUCGUCCUGUGUUGCCAGCGGGUUAUGCCGGGGACUCAUGGGAGACUGCCGGGGUCAACUCGGAGGAAGGUGGGGAUGACGUCAAAUCAUCACGCCCCUUAUGUCUUGGGCUUCACGCAUGCUACAAUGGCCGGUACAAUGGGUUGCGAUGCCGUGAGGUGGAGCGAAUCCCAAAAAGCCGGUCUCAGUUCGGAUUGGGGUCUGCAACUCGACCCCAUGAAGUCGGAGUCGCUAGUAAUCGCAGAUCAGCAACGCUGCGGUGAAUACGUUCUCGGGCCUUGUACACACCGCCCGUCACGUCACGAAAGUCGGUAACACCCGAAGCCGGUGGCCUAACCCUUGUGGGGGGAGCCGUCGAAGGUGGGACUGGCGAUUGGGACGAAGUCGUAACAAGGUAACC
rnacentral:rRNA from 1 species